UUCGAUUGCGUCGGAAUCGGGAACAUCUUAUUCGGAGCAGCGGUACAAUUAAUGCGCUCACAAGAUGAUCGAGUCUCUCUCGAAAACUCUAUUUAUAUAUCGUGUAAUAUUUCUUUACCUAGCGCUAUUUCUGUGUACUUUAAAUCAGAUUAUGUGAUAGUACUCAAUGUUACUCAUCGACGUGAUUGCAGAUUCGGGAAGGUAAAAAUAAUCAGUAUUAAAUAUUAGAGUAAUAAUUAACAAAAUUAAGGAAAGACGAAAACAACUUAGUGCGAUACAGUUUCAAAAUAUAUUUACACUUUAUAUUGCCUUAUAUAUGCAUUUAUAUGCAUUUUCUCAUUGAAUGACGUAUAACGAUCGAAGGUGCAACAGAUAUCGAGCACUUUUUAUCUGCUGUUCGUAUCGCCUCGUGGUGGUAACAAAAUGACAAUAAUAAGUUCGAGGUUCAUGGAUCGAUCUAGACUUUUUCUUAAAUAUGAUUCCACUCAACAUUCAGAUAAGAUCAGAUAACGCACAUCAUAUUUUGGGUACAAUCAUACAAUCAAGGUAAUCAUUAAAUUAGUUGUCACUUCAAAAAGCAUUUCUCGUAUAAGAUUAAUCGAGUCAAUAUAAUACUUAAGUUUAAAAAGGGUCUGUAACUAUAAUACAACUCGAGGAGAUGAUCUUCUGCCGGAGAUCCGCCAACGACACUCAAACGAAGUCAAUUGUGUUUUCCUGACGAAAACCAACCCCAGGUCGUUCAAGACCUGUUUUCCUCCAGAAACGAAGCAGGGAGAAGGGUCGGUCAUAGUUCUGGAAGACAUAAAUUUUCAAAAGACUAUAUAGUA